GGCAAACAACGCCGCACAAUCUCCUGGGUUGAAGACUUAUUUCAAAACCCCAGAAGGAAAAUAUAAGCUUCAUAAUGAGAAGACUUAUCCUGCUGGUCUUCUUCAUUUUUCCCAUGGCAAAACUGUUACUCAGGUUUCUCUAGCUCCUCUCAAAGAUAAGCCCAUUCAGGCACAGCCUCACUCGACAUCAAGUUUUGGAGUCACCAGUGGUGUUAAGUCAGCAGCAGCGAGAUUGUUAGGUGGUGGAAAUGGUAGUAAGUCACUUAGUUUUGUCGGAGGAAAUGGUGGAAGUAAGUCUGUCAGUGGUAUGAGUGGUAGAGCUGGAUCAUUUGGGGUGACAAGUUCAAAUAACUCCGGUAGUAUUCCCAAUUUCGAUGGCAAAGGGACUUAUUUGAUAUUCAAUGUUGGUGACACAAUUUUUAUUAGUGAUUUGAAUUCUCGAG
rnacentral:misc_RNA from 1 species